GACGAACGCUGGCGGCGUGCCUAAUACAUGCAAGUCGAACGAGAAUUGCUUACACCGAGUGCUUGCACUCACCGUAAGGGAUUCGAGUGGCGGACGGGUGAGUAACACGUGGGUAACCUGCCUAUCAGAGGGGGAUAACACUUGGAAACAGGUGCUAAUACCGCAUAAUAUUGAAAAGCGCAUGCUUUUCAAUUAAAAGGCGCUUAUGGUGUCACUGGUAGAUGGACCCGCGGCGUAUUAGCUAGUUGGUGGGGUAACGGCCUACCAAGGCAAUGAUACGUAGCCGAGUUGAGAGACUGAUCGGCCACAAUGGGACUGAGACACGGCCCAAACUCCUACGGGAGGCAGCAGUAGGGAAUCUUCCACAAUGGACGCAAGUCUGAUGGAGCAACGCCGCGUGAGUGAAGAAGGUCUUCGGAUCGUAAAACCUCUGUUGUUAGAGAAG
rnacentral:rRNA from 1 species